AUUGAACGCUGGCGGCAGGCCUAGCACAUGCAAGUCGAGCGGAUGAAGGGAGCUUGCUCCUGGAUUCAGCGGCGGACGGGUGAGUAAUGCCUAGGAAUCUGCCUGGUAGUGGGGGAUAACGUCCGGAAACGGGCGCUAAUACCGCAUACGUCCUGAGGGAGAAAGUGGGGGAUCUUCGGACCUCACGCUAUCAGAUGAGCCUAGGUCGGAUUAGCUAGUUGGUGGGGUAAAGGCCUAUCAAGGCGACGAUCCGUAACUGGUCUGAGAGGAUGAUCAGUCACACUGGAACUGAGACACGGUCCAGACUCCUACGGGAGGCAGCAGUGGGGAAUAUUGGACAAUGGGCGAAAGCCUGAUCCAGCCAUGCCGCGUGUGUGAAGAAGGUCUUCGGAUUGUAAAGCACUUUAAGUUGGGAGGAAGGGCAGUAAGUUAAUACCUUGCUGUUUUGACGUUACCAACAGAAUAAGCACCGGCUAACUUCGUG
rnacentral:rRNA from 1 species